rnacentral:rRNA from 1 species
AUACGGAGGGUGCAAGCGUUACUCGGAAUCACUGGGCGUAAAGCGCGCGCAGGCGGCUUGAUAAGUUGGAUGUGAAAGCCUACGGCUCAACCGUAGAACUGCAUCCAAAACUGUCAGGCUAGAGUGUGGGAGAGGAAGAUGGAAUUAGUUGUGUAGGGGUAAAAUCCGUAGAGAUAACUAGGAAUACCAAAAGCGAAGGCAAUCUUCUGGAACAUUACUGACGCUGAGGCGCGAAAGCGUGGGGAGCAAACAGGAUUAGAAACCCUAGUAGUCC